UGGGGAAUUUUGGACAAUGGGGGAAACCCUGAUCCAGCCAUCCCGCGUGUGCGAUGAAGGCCUUCGGGUUGUAAAGCACUUUUGGCAGGAAAGAAACGUCAUGGGUUAAUACCCCGUGAAACUGACGGUACCUGCAGAAUAAGCACCGGCUAACUACGUGCCAGCAGCCGCGGUAAUACGUAGGGUGCAAGCGUUAAUCGGAAUUACUGGGCGUAAAGCGUGCGCAGGCGGUUCGGAAAGAAAGAUGUGAAAUCCCAGAGCUAAACUUUGGAACUGCAUUUUUAACUACCGGGCUAGAGGGUGUCAGAGGGAGGUGGAAUUCCGCGUGUAGCAGUGAAAUGCGUAGAUAUGCGGAGGAACACCGAUGGCGAAGGCAGCCUCCUGGGAUAACACUGACGCUCAUGCACGAAAGCGUGGGGAGCAAACAGG
rnacentral:rRNA from 1 species